rnacentral:rRNA from 1 species
UACGUAGGGGGCAAGCGUUGUCCGGAUUUAUUGGGCGUAAAGAGCGUGUAGGCGGCCAGACAGGUCUGCUGUGAAAACUCGAGGCUCAACCUCGAGACGCCGGUGGAAACCGUCUGGCUAGAGUCCGGAAGAGGAGAGUGGAAUUCCUGGUGUAGUGGUGAAAUGCGUAGAUAUCGGGAGGAACACCAGUGGCGAAGGCGACUACCUGGCCUGUUCUUGACGCUGAGGCGCGAAAGCUAGGGGAGCAAACGGG